UUAGAGGCUUUGUAUAUUCUUUGAUGCACUGAAGAAAAAUUUUGACGGGAGAUUCACUAGCCUUCAAUGCAGAUACAGUUUGAAACACUUCCAUUUGAAUCAGAUAUAUUUUGAAUGCAGCUUUUGGUAUAUACCCUUGAGCAUGGCUCACUAAUACUAUUAUAUGCUUUUGAAAAGAUUAGUAGAGCUGUAAUGAUUGGACUCCUGGAUUUUCUUUUGCAUAUUUGAAAAUGCCAAUAGCAUCGAUGUGCUUCAUCCAAUCUCUUGUUUACGCAUCAUGGUAAUAUUGAUUUUGAGGUCACUGGGAUGGUGUCAAUAUCUUACUGUUUUUUUUUGGAUACCAAAUAUAGGGUACUUUCGAAGUAAGAGAGAGCGACAUUGAUUAUUACAUUAUGGGUGUUUGAUAUGAACGAUUUAGUGGAUGAUAAGUUAGUUUGUUGUGCCAGUUGUUUUAGGCAUUUCGAUUUAGAUGACAGCAGUCCUUGCAACAAAUAUGCCCUAGUGUUAGUUUUGACAUAUGAGAGCGUACUAUGCAGGUUUUAGCAGCCCACCGGUAUGGUAUCAAGAGAGUAAUUCUUCCAGAGAGAAACUUGAAGGACUUGGUGGAGGUACCAUCUGCUGUGCUCUCCAGCCUGGAGAUAUUACUGGCAAAACAAAUGGAGGACGUGCUGGAACAGGCCUUUGAAGGUGGUUGCCCGUGGAGACAGCAUUCUAAAUUAUGACAAGCAUCUUCUGAUUUACUACUCCCAUUGUCACCCAGAAGCCAGAACGACUACUUGUUUUGGCCAAGAUGAAGCCUGCAGGUGGCUCUUUGGCUUUUUAACAACAUUUAAUUUCGCAAUAUUUCAAAUGUAUCUUGUAACAUUACCUGUUCAUUAUUUGCUGAAAUAAUUACAGCGUCUUUUUCCUUUAUACGAAACCAUGUACCUGUCGUAUUAUUCUUCUCUCUCAGCGAGCUGUAUUUGCAGCAAUA